rnacentral:lncRNA from 1 species
CUGGAGCAAAUGAAAUCUUGUCUUUAGCUAUGUUCACCGGGACUAGUAUUCACAGACAACACAAGAUUAGACUAACAUCACUCUAAGUCAGUAUCUCUGUUAUUUCUAAAAGAGAAUGUGCACUAUAAAUAAUUCCUAAAUAUUUGCUUCUAGGUUUAGUGACAGUCUCUGAAGGCAUUAACUAAAGAAAGAUGUGUCCAGCUGUUGGAUACCAGGGGAACACAACCAAUAUUGCCAAUGGCACUGUGAUAGCGAUUCUGUUCUGAAGGCAAAGCGCUGUUAUCCUGGUACCAAACAGCAGCUGUUUAGAAUAUGGAUGAAACAUUCAGGCUACAAGCAAGUGAUCCUGCACCUACCUGACUGGAAGCACAUAGGAUAUUUGACAUCUACAGAACAGUAGUAAUAAACAUAAGGAACAAUCUUGAAAGGAUUUUUGACUUCUCCAAGUAUCACUGGAUCUUCAGUUGCAAACUAGGGAAAGUAUCCCACCAACAUCCUUGCACUUCAUGUCAGAAGCUGUGAUUCUAUCUGCCCUAUAUAACUGCAGAUGACUUUCUUCCCCUCUGCCCCUCAUCUGUAUCACCACUCUAAGUCCAGUGUGAAAUCUAGCUAUAUGCUAUUGCCAGCCCCAGGUCUCAGAAUUGCCACCUGUACUCAUCUUUCUGGCAGUACAAGGAGUUGCUCUAUUUGGACUGGAUAGCAAAUCGUAGGACUUUGUACACGGCACUUUUUCUGUGAGGUUACAACUUGAAAUGUU